GAGAAAUAAAUGAGGCUAACCAUGUGUAACACGGAAAUAAAGUCCUUUUGAUGAAGCGCCGCCUAUUUUGCACGCACAAAGCAAAAACUGCACCUCCGGCUCACAUUUCUCAAAAGUGCGGCUGGACCGGAAGUGACGUCACACGGGGCAUUCCCGGGAUGGAACAACAUUUGCAGACAACAAUAUUAGCCACUGCGCUACCUUUUACUUUCUUCCCCGUCGGUAAAUUCCGUCAUGAUGUAAUUUUGACUGAAACGGUGAAACGUAGUGUAACUUUUGGUUUUAGUACGUCUGCCUGAGACUGUAAAAGGCGACUGAGGGAUGAGACCUCGCUUUAUUGAAGUUCGGCAGAGGUCAAAUACAAAGUUUGAGCGCAGCGUUGUAGCUAGAUACCUAUUCAUGCCUCUGUGGGGAGCAUUUUUCGGAAAACCUGUUUUAUGGUGGCCGCAAAGGUCAGUAAGGAGAUAGCAGGUGGGCUCAGCUACAGCCGACCGCCCUCCCAGAUAAUUUGGAGGCCAGGCCGAGCUCGGCGGUGGAAGCUUGUGGAAGCGGAAAGCUGGCGUCGUCUGCUAAACCGAACAAGUUCAGUCGCAGUUCAUAAACUGAACAAGCAACGGAACUCAGGCUGCCCUUGUGAUGAUGGACAUGGGGGUUUAAUGCACACUGGAGCGAUGGCAUGGAAGAGGAGAGAGGAAGAAUAGAAUAGUAUUCUCCAACAGAAGAGGAGUUGUUAGAGGCUAGAAGAUACAUGUAAUGAGGACAUGGAGUGUAAAAUCUAUGUGCCAGAGGAGCCACCACCAUCAAAAGAAAAGAACACAUCUUUGAGUCAGACUUCUUCAUCUCUUCUCCCUCUGCAUUAUGUGUGAUAGUGGGCAGCUCAAGUUACACCUGGGACAUGCUGGCUCAAUUCUUCAGGUCACUCAGUUUUGCACAUUGUGCAAACAUAUAUAUAUAUAUAUAAAUCAUGGUGCAGCCAGCCAUGUAAUGGCAACACACGCAUGUUGAGUCUUUUAAUAUGAGAAAUGUAUAUAGUCUAUCAUGUCACAUAAUAGAAAACCAGGGAUUUAUGUAAUCAAGAUAUACACAAACUGUAAUGCCCUUGACAUAAUCAUUUUCAUUGUUUAAAAAGUGUCUGUUUUAGGUAAAAGCUUACAGCAUAUGUAAAUGACAAUAAUGUACAUGUCAACAUGUCUUCUUUAAUGUCAACAAGGGUAUCCAUACCCUUGGAAAUAGAAAUUGUGUCAUUCUUUUGAACUGGGUGCUGAAGUUUCUCAACACAAUUGUAUAGAGCCUGGUCAAAUCUUGCUUUACAGCAGCCCAUCCAACAUUUGUCAGCCUCUGGUCAGGUGCAGCCCAGGCAGCAGAGUUUGUGUCACACAGACUAAUUUAUAUAUAGGUAUGAUCAUUUCCAUAGUGACCAGUAAUUACUCAUUAGGUGCACCCUGACUUGGUUUGUACUGAUAGUGAAAUUUUGCACAUUGCAACAAUUUUUACAUCCAAGGAGGACUUUGGUACUAUCCCAGAAUUGUCCAAUACACGCUCCACAAUACACAUUUCCAUUGAUGGAAAUACUCACAAAUGGAGCCCAAACUUCACCAAACUGCUGUGUUUUUCUGAAAACACUAUUGAUUGAUGAUAUUUUACAUAUUGUGCAUGAGAAAAUCAAAAUGCACCAAUAAGCACCCAUGGGAAAAUAAAGAAAAUGAUAUAUGAUAUUGUUUUGGUAAUAAUUGUCAACAAAUAUUUUAUUUACAACUAUUCUAAUUGGCUGGUGUGUUGAAGUGUUGCCCCCUUUCAGUUUGUAAGGGGUGAGCACUAAACCUUAGUUUUGUUAUGCUAUUUCUAAAGCAUUUGAAACAUGUACAUGUCUUUCAGAGUGUUCUUUAAUUCCAAACAAAAAUAAUUUCUUUGGAUAAUUGCAUCUGUGCUAGAACUAAUUCCAAAUGAAAACAUUAUUAUUGAACAGGUAGUGAGUGAGUGAGUGUGACACAUUCCUAUUUUUUGUAGCUGCUUGACAUUGUAUAUUUUAUAUCUAUUAUUACAAUUAUCAUACAAUGAAGUGCUUGAAAUUGAUUAAGGGGAUAAGUGCCCUGAUGUGCUUAACUUCAAAAGAUUGGUGCAUGGAAAUCAUUUGGGGUGCAUGACAUGAUACAGAGUAGAAUGUCAGAAAAAAUAACCAACCUUACUGGCUUGAAUAGGAAAUUCUGUAGUCAAUAUUCUGAACAGGUCCUACACAUGAUGUACAACAAAGAAUCUAUACACUGAUUAUCUUUGACUUUAAAGGUAAUGUACACAAAUAUUCUGUAUCAACAUUUGUAUAUGUAAUGUAUAGAAGUUUGAGUAUAAAGCUGCAUUUGUACUUGAUGAAAAAUGCCCAUCCUGUAAUACAUGUAUGUAAUGCUACAGUACAAUAAAGUCAAUUGAUUGCUUGGGUAUUUGAUUUAUGAUGCUUGUUUGAGUGACAGCUUACUUACGAGUUGCACCUUGGCUGGGCCUAUACUCUUGUUGGCACUGCUAAAUUUUAAGCACACUGUUUGUUUGUUUGUUUGUUGUAGCACCACAGUAUCUAUUAAACACAAAACUGAAACCCAGCAGCAGUUGGUAUAUGGUAUAAUUUAAACAAUGAAUGAUGCAGUAAAUCCACAAAUAACACAGGAUUUGUUAAACUUUCACCUUUUUUAUAAUUCAAAUUUCAAAUAAGCACAGAAAAUAACCUGGAAUAAUCAUAUAAUUUAUUGUUUUCUUUAUUGCAUUGGACAAUCCGAUGCGGGGGCGGUGUUAAAAAGAAACAAAAAUGGCUCUCAACUUCAAGUAUAUAAAUUUGUACUGCCCGAUCCGAGUACGAAACUGUUCCGAAGGUUGGUGGGAGGAGGCCCUAGGGCACCAUAACACCAGGUACAAAGAAAAAUACGGACCAAAUAAGGCCCCAAAUCAAGUUGACUUCAAACACAUUUUGUCAAGGCACCGAUUUCAUCAAGAUUCAAGGAGGUUUUAUAACAUAAAACUUGCAACAAAAAUCUGCUGCGAAACAAACCCUGACGUGGGAGGGCGUUCGCUACACACCGGGGUACCCGCUCCUCAUUUCUGCCAUUUUCCCGAUUUCCCGUCGCUGUCAGCGUCUCCUGCGCCUGGCUGGAACUUAUAGGGCCAAAACGGCCCGAUAAUAAUGGCCUGAGAUCGUCCUGUGCUCGCGCGCGGCGUCACUUCCCGCAGCAUAAUUGCCCGCUGCACACGCUGGUCCGCGUCCGGCAUUAUACUAGGCCCGCCUUCUUGGUGGGCGUACCCCGUGUGACGUCACACGGCGUUCUCCACCAAAUCAGCCGGCCUGUGAAACCCGAUACGUUUGGCGCGCUGUGAUCAAAACGGCCCCGCGAUGGGUGCCGCGGUGCCUAUUGCUAAUGACUACCACCGACAGUCUUACAAAUGAAGCAAGAAAAUCAAACUUUUCAAACCCGUUGCACUGGGG